UACGAAGGGAGCUAGCGUUGUUCGGAAUCACUGGGCGUAAAGCGCACGUAGGCGGAUUUGUCAGUCAGGGGUGAAAUCCCGGGGCUCAACCUCGGAACUGCCUUUGAUACAGCAAGUCUUGAGUUCGAGAGAGGUGGGUGGAAUUCCUAGUGUAGAGGUGAAAUUCGUAGGUAUUAGGAGGAACACCGGUGGCGAAGGCGGCCCACUGGCUCGAUACUGACGCUGAGGUGCGAAAGCGUGGGGAGCAAACAGG
rnacentral:rRNA from 1 species